ACCCCUCCCGCCUGGCUCGGGCGCCAGGAGAAGCGGACAUUUUAGCCUCCUCUGCAAUCCGCUCUCUCGUUCGUGUCCUUCUCCCCCCUCUCGUCCGGUUGGAGUGCAGUGGUGCUGUGUCUGGAGUUUGUUCCUGCCGUUGGGUUUGUGGUCUUGCUGACUUCAAGAAUGAAGCCACGGACCUUCACGAGAAAUAUUACGUUGUAUGGAUGUACCACUGUUUGUUUAUCCAUUCUUCAGGUGAAGGACAUGUGGGUUGUGCCCAGCGCGGGCUGAAUAAAGAUACACACACAGGCACAUUGGAAACGCAGUAGAAAAUGGCUGCCAAUUUAAAACCAGAAGUUAAGAAGAGCAAACUCGAAUGUACAGCAAGAGAGCUUCAGGCUGGACUGGCUUCCAGCAGAAGUGGGACUGGAAACCUCGGAUUCUAUUGUCUCUUCUCUGUGAAGUGGGAAAACAUGUCAGUAUCUGAACUUGAGCUUGGUAAUUACUGCUCAUUUCUCAACCUUUUCCAAGCCACGUAACUCCCCUAAGGCUUAGUUUUCUUAUCUGUGAAUUGCGAGAUGGUAUGUUCUUCAUCACGAGGUUGCUAUAAAGACUGAAUGAGAUAAUGUGUGUGGAAGCACCAAGCAUGGUCCUUGGCAUGCAGUAGAUGCUCAAUAAAUAUGAACUGGAGUACACAUGCACUCUGCUCCCUCCUGCCCCCUCAUAGUGCCUGGUCUGGCUCUGGGCUCCCUGGGAUAUGGCAGGUUACCAAAGCAGGCACUAAGGCAUGUCUACCCUUGGUACCUUAUUACCUAGGUUUCCUGUGCCACCUGCUUCAUUCUAAUCGCAGAUUUCAGGCUCCAUUCAAACAGAACCUCACUUCUGCUAGCUGUCAUGCUCAAAAAGGGACUGAUGACCACUGAAGCAGGCUAUGAUAGUGAUUUAUGAAUGUCAUUCCUCCAGACAGCAUUUGGAUUAUUACUGGUUUUGCUUUUAUUUUAUUUGGCG
rnacentral:lncRNA from 1 species